ACCAGUACCUGCUACACCUCUGUGGGAUCCGGGUGCCCACUCCCUGCUGGGCUCCCGCUGUCCAGGACCUAGGAUGACCCAGGCGAGUCUGAUGUGCAGUUAUUGGGCGCAAGUCUGCAUCACUGUGCCAGGCAGCUACACCGUGGGUGCUGAGGUCUCAGCCUUGGAGCCAUACUGUUGGAGGAAGUCCAUGGCUGUAGAGUCUGGGUCCUUGGGGCGCCCAGAUUUCUGAUUUCACUGUGGUGAGUUGAUGCCAAGUGCUGGGACCCCAUAGCCUGUGGCUAAGCCAAUUCACAUUGAUGCAGGUGGAAACCCCAAAGGAUCAGUUCUUUCACCAGUCCUUUGUUUUACAUCACUUGGUGGUGUUCGUGGAUAACUGAGGGACAGAUGAAUAGAGGCCACCACAAGAAAUAUCACCAGAGUUACUACUUGCUGCUGGCUUAGUGCUCCCUGAAACUGCUGUUUGCAUGAGCAUCGUCUCCAGACCUAGAGCAAGAGGUUCCUGGGUCAGAUCAUGGGUUCACUCAGGCUCUUCCUGUUGGGUACACACACUGAGAUUUAGAAAGGGAAAUGGGGUGUUGAUUUGAGGUGUGUGUUUCAGGACUGGGACGUGAACAGUUGCUGCUUGGUUUAUGUUUACGGCAUUUGUUUCAGAGGCAAAGAGUGUGUCCCUCAGCUGGGAGCCCAGAGCACAACCCGAGUCACCCAUGUGGGUGGCAGGAAGCUAACUGCUUAAGCCAUCACCACUGCAUGCCAUGGACUCGUUAGCAGGAAGCUGGAACCAACAACCAGAGCCUGGAUCCAAACCAGGCAGUGUUGCAGAACCCCAGAACUCGAAUCUGCCCACAGGAUCCCAGGUGGUGCUUACAAGGCAUGGAGCAAGGAGCUGGGCAACCAUCGCCCAACUCCCAGGCUAGCUCCAGGAAGAGGGGGUGAAGGUUCUUCAAAAUGAAGUUAGGGUUCAGAAGUAUGUAUUCAACUCCAACAUAGGUUUUUUUUGGUUUGUUUUUACUUUUGUUGUUGUUACUGUCCUAAUGACACUGCAAUAAAGUCGCAUGGUUGAUCCUUUUGUAAAUUGAGACUUGGUUACCAACGUGGAAUAUGAAAAGCCUUUGUCACUGUUUUCUCAGAGCAUGAGAAGAAAGCAGGGGUGCCUCUCUCACUUGAGGGAGGAUUUCCAGCGGUCUAUUAAACAUCCAUUGCAUUAUGCAAAUCAAAUU